GGGGGGGAAAAAUUAAUAAAUAAAUAAAUAUAAAAAAAAUUUUUAAUAUAAAUAUUUAAUGGGGGUUAAAGUAUUUUAUAGAAAAAAAUUAAAAAUUUAUAGUUAAAUAGUAUUGUGAAAGAAAUUUGAAAAAUUUUGAAAUAAAAAUUUAUAAAAAAGUAAAUUUUAUUUAUUGUAUCUUGGGUAUCAGAGUUUAUUAAAAUAUAAUUUUUUAAAAAGUUAUUUCGAAUUUAAAAGAGUUAAUUAAUUAAAAAAUUUAAUAUUAUAUAAUUAUUUUAAAUAAUUAAUUAGAAAUGAAAAGUUAAUCGUUUUUAAAUAUAUCUAAUUUUUUUGGAAAAAAAUUUAAUUUUAAAUUAAUUUAAUUUAAUAAUUAAUUAAUUAAUUAUUAUUAGUUUUAAUUAAAUAUUUUAAGGGAUAAGCUUUAAAUUAAAAUAUUAUAAAUAAUUAUUAAUAAAAUUAAAAAUUUUAAAAUUUGUAUUUUUUAAAAAUUAUAAUUUAUUAUAAAUAAUUUUAUUUGAUUAAAAUUUAAUACUUAAUUUAAUUUUUUACAAAAAUAUAAUUUUUAAUAAAAAAAAAUUAGAAAUAAUGAUAAAAUUAGUAUAUGAUAAAAAAAAAAAAUUAAUAAAUCAUCAAAAUUAAUAAAAAAGAAUUCGGCAAAAAUUUAUAUUCACUUGUUUAUCAAAAACAUGUCUUUUUGGCAAUAAUUUAAAGUCUAAUCUGCCCACUGAAAAAUUUAAAGGGCUGCAGUAUAUUGACUGUACAAAGGUAGCAUAAUAAUUAGUCUUUUAAUUGAAGACUCGUAUGAAUGAUUUGAUGAGAUAUGAACUGUUUCUUUAUUAACAAUAGAAUUUAAUUUUUUAGUUAAAAAGCUAAAAUUUUUUUAAAAGACGAGAAGACCCUAUAGAGUUUAAUUUUUUAAAUUUUAUAAUUAUUUUAUUAAAUUUAUAAUUUAUAAAAGUUAAAAAAUUUUGUUGGGGUGAUAAAAAAAUUUAAUUAACUUUUUUUUAAAAAAUUUAACAUUAAUAUAUGAUUUUAUGAUCCAUAAUUUAUGAUUAAAAGACUAAAUUACCUUAGGGAUAACAGCGUAAUUUUUUUUUUUAGUUCAAAUAAAAAUUAAAGUUUGCGACCUCGAUGUUGGAUUAAGAUAAAAUUUAAAUGUAAAAGUUUAAGGUUUUGAUCUGUUCGAUCAUUAAAAUCUUACAUGAUCUGAGUUCAAACCGGUGUAAGCCAGGUUGGUUUCUAUCUUUAUAUAAAUAAAAUAAUUUAGUACGAAAGGAUCAAUUAUUUUAAAUAGUUUAAACAAAAAGAAUAUUAAAAAAUUUUUUUUU
rnacentral:rRNA from 1 species